rnacentral:rRNA from 1 species
AUUGAACGCUGGCGGCAGGCCUAACACAUGCGAGUCGAGCGGAUGAAGGGAGCUUGCUCCUGGAUUCAGCGGCGGACGGGUGAGUAAUGCCUAGGAAUCUGCCUGGUAGUGGGGGAUAACGUCCGGAAACGGGCGCUAAUACCGCAUACGUCCUGAGGGAGAAAGUGGGGGAUCUUCGGACCUCACGCUAUCAGAUGAGCCUAGGUCGGAUUAGCUAGUUGGUGGGGUAAAGGCCUACCAAGGCGACGAUCCGUAACUGGUCUGAGAGGAUGAUCAGUCACACUGGAACUGAGACACGGUCCAGACUCCUACGGGAGGCAGCAGUGGGGAAUAUUGGACAAUAGGCGAAAGCCUGAUCCAGCCAUGCCGCGUGUGUGAAGAAGGUCUUCGGAUUGUAAAGCACUUUAAGUUGGGAGGAAGGGCAGUAAGUUAAUACCUUGCUGUUUGGACGUUACCAACAGAAUAAGCGCCGGCUAACUUCGU